GGUCGGUUGGCGCAAUGGUAGCGCGCACCCCUCCUAAGUCGAGUAGGAUAGAUCCGGGACUUUGACCCGUAAAUCGUCAGGGUGAGGCUGUGGGUUCGAGUCCCACAUCGAUCG